CAUUAAAAGGAAUGGAGUUCUGAUACAUGCUACAGCAUGGGUAGGCCUUGAAAACAUGCUGAGCAAAAUGAGCCAGACACAAAAGGGAAAAUAUUAUAUGAUUCCACUUCUAUAUGUAGAAUAGGCACAUUCAUACAGACAGAAUGUGCAGAGGCUGGGGGGAAGCAGAAAUGGUUAGUUUCUGGGAUGAUAAAAUAACUUUGGAAAUUGUGGUGACAGUCGCAUAGCACUGUGAAUGUAAUUCAUAUCACUGAAUUGUAUACUUACAAAUGUUUAAAAUGGCAUAUUUUAUAUAUGUUAUCACAAUAAAAAGAAUUAUCUUUUAAAAGAUAAUAAAACUGAAACUGUUUCCUUUAAUAAACAAUAGAACACAUAAAUAAACGAGGGUGAUCUAGAAAGAAGAAAUAAGGAGAAACCAACACAGCAAAGAUUCUGGCAAUAUACAUGAAGGAUUGUAUGAACUUAACAUAUAUGGUUUGGUUAGCACAAACAUUUUACUUAAAAAAAGAAAAGGAAAAUAAAUGAUACUACUCAGUAUUGCUGAGCAUCUUACAUACAUAUUGCUGACAGCAGAGAAACUAUACUUCCUUUUGGGAAGUCAAUACAGCAAUAUAUACAGGAAGACCUAAAAAUGCGUAAAUAUUUCACUAAUUUCUGGCAAUUUAUAUAAAAAAAUAAUUUAAAAUGCAUCAAACAAUAAGUACAAUAAUGUUCAUUACAGCAGUCUGAAAGAAGGGACUAACAAAAUGUUUAAAAAUGAGAUUAACAACGGGGAUUGCAUUCAAACAGUGGAUUAAAAUGAAGCUAUUAAAAUGUUGUAAUAUUUAAUGGUGUACAGAGAUUUACAUUAUAUCCAAAGUUAAUUAUAGUGAAUAUUUAACACUUUGCCUACAUUUUUAAUGCAUAGAAAGAUGCUCUGAGAAUGGGAGUGAUUUUCUUCUUUUUCAUCUGUGUGUUUUAAUUUUUGUACAACAAAUGUGAUUUAAGUUGUUUUCACUGAAAAAAAAACAAGACAAGACAUACAGGUAAUUGAAUAAACUAUAGUACAGAAACGCAAUAGAGUACUAUGCAGCUGCAAAAAAGAAUAAGAAGAUCUCUAUGAACUGAUAUGGAGUAAUUUCCAGGAUUCACUGUUAAGUGAAAAGAACAAAAUAUUAUAUAUACUAUCUAUCACAUGAGAAAAAAAGGAAAAGUAAGAAAAUAUAUAUGCAUCUGUUUAUUAGUUGACAUUCUAUUAAGGAACAGCUUUUCCUUCUUCCUUUUAUUUAUUCAUUUAUAAUUUAUAUCUAUAUGGACUCCUGGAUUUCUAUUUCACUUAACAAUUUAAUACUGUCAUUAAUUUUGAUGCUGUUAUUGUCUUAAUUUGGACAGUGGGAACCCCAGCCCUUCAAGCUGGCUUCUGUGUCAUCUUGACAAGUCUUAACAUCAUUUGAAAACUUAAACAGUAAAGUCAACUCCCUUUUCAAUAAUUUUCCCCUCUUCAUCAAUUCUUUGUUCUUCCUAUUUUAAAGAAAUCCCCUUUAUGGAUCUCUCUUCUUUUUAUUAGUGAUCAGUGGCAGGCACACAGAGAAAUGACAAACCAAAAAAUGGAUAUUUUAAAUGAUCAGACCAUAAA